CCUACGGGGGACAGCAGUGAGGAAUAUUGGUCAAUGGACGGAAGUCUGAACCAGCCAUGCCGCGUGCAGGAAGACGGCUCUAUGAGUUUUACACUGCUUUUGUACGAGGGUAAAUCCCGAUUCGUGUAUUGGGUCGCAACUAUCGUACGAAUAACGAUCGGCUAACUCCGUGCCAGCAGCCACGGUAUUACGGGGGGUUCAAGCGUUAUCCGGAUUUAUUGGGUGUAAAGGGUGCGUAGGGGGGGUGAUAAGUUAGAGGUGAAAUCCCGGGGCUCAACUCCGGCACUGCCUCUGAUACUGUCGGGCUAGAGUUUAGGAGCGGUAAGCGGAAUGUAUGGUGUAGCGGUGAAAUGCAUAGAGAUCAGGCAGAACACCGGUUGCGAAGGCAGCUUACCAGACUACGACUGACGUUGAGGCACGAAAGCGUGGGGAGCAAACAGGAUUAGAUACCCGGGUAGUC
rnacentral:rRNA from 1 species